CCGUUGGGACCGCGGAGGAUCAUUACCGAGUUUACAAACUCCCCAAACCCUUUGUGAACCUUACCGUAUCGUUGCUUCGGCGGGACCGCCCCGGCGCCCUCGGGCCCGGAACCAGGCGCCCGCCGGAGGCCCCAAACCCUCAUGUCUUUAGUGGUUUUCUCCUCUGAGUGACACAUAAACAAAUAAAUAAAAACUUUCAACAACGGAUCUCUUGGUUCUGGCAUCGAUGAAGAACGCAGCGAAAUGCGAUAAGUAAUGUGAAUUGCAGAAUUCAGUGAAUCAUCGAAUCUUUGAACGCACAUUGCGCCCGCCAGUAUUCUGGCGGGCAUGCCUGUUCGAGCGUCAUUUCAACCCUCAGGCCCCCAGUGCCUGGUGUUGGGGAUCGGCAGCAGGGCGUCAAGCCCGCCGGCCCCGAAAUCUAGUGGCGGUCUCGCUGUAGUCCUCCUCUGCGUAGUAGCACAACCUCGCAGUUGGAACGCGGCGGUGGCCAUGCCGUUAAACACCCCACUUCUGAAAGUUGACCUCGGAUCAGGUAGGAAUACCCGCUGAACUUAAGCAUAUCA
rnacentral:rRNA from 1 species